rnacentral:tRNA from 1 species
GGAGAGUAGAGCUCAGCGGGAGAGUGUGUGCGUAGCAUGCAUGAAGUCCUGGGUUCAAUCCCCAGCACCUCCA